rnacentral:rRNA from 1 species
AUUGAACGCUGGCGGCAGGCCUAACACAUGCCAGUCGAGCGGAUGAAGGGAGCUUGCUCCUGGAUUCAGCGGCGGACGGGUGAGUAAUGCCUAGGAAUCUGCCUGGUAGUGGGGGAUAACGUCCGGAAACGGGCGCUAAUACCGCAUACGUCCUGAGGGAGAAAGUGGGGGAUCUUCGGACCUCACGCUAUCAGAUGAGCCUAGGUCGGAUUAGCUAGUUGGUGGGGUAAAGGCCUACCAAGGCGACGAUCCGUAACUGGUCUGAGAGGAUGAUCAGUCACACGGGAACUUGGACACGGGCCAGGCCCCUGCGGGAGACAGGAGUGGGGAGUAGUGGACAAUGGGCGAUAGCCGGAAGCAGCCAGGCGGCGUGUGGCAAGAGGGUUUUCGGAUUGUGGAGCGCGAUAAGUUGGGGGGAAGGGUAGUAAGGUAAUACUGGUCGUUGUGGACGUACCGACAGAAUAAGCGCCGGCUAACUUCGUG